AGCUCCACGACACCACCCCUGCGGCCAGUGCAUGAGGCCACCGUCAGUGGUCUGUGUUCUUGUUCUUUAGCAGGUGCAGCACAGGAACCAUGAGGCCACACAUUGCCUAGUCUACAGUUCUGUGGAAAUGGGAAUUCCUCCUAGGGCAGCAGUGAGGAUUAACACUUUACUUAACCCUGUGAUUCCAGGGGUCCUCAUGUGGGAGUAGACAAGCAAAAGCAUAGUGGAGGAUAUGACAAAUGGACAUUGGAAGCAGUGGGACAACUCAGUGUGUA